rnacentral:rRNA from 1 species
GGUUAAGCGACUAAGCGUACACGGUGGAUGCCCUGGCAGUCAGAGGCGAUGAAGGACGUGCUAAUCUGCGAAAAGCGCCGGCGAGGUGAUAUGAACCUUUGACCCGGCGAUGUCCGAAUGGGGAAACCCAGUGCAAUUCGUUGCACUAUCGUUAACUGAAUACAUAGGUUAACGAGGCGAACCGGGGGAACUGAAACAUCUAAGUACCCCGAGGAAAAGAAAUCAACCGAGAUUCCCCCAGUAGCGGCGAGCGAACGGGGAGCAGCCCGGAGUCUGAAUCAGCUUGUGUGUUAGUGGAACGGUCUGGAAAGUCCGACGGUACAGGGUGAUAGUCCCGUACACGAAAAUGCACAGGUUGUGAACUCGAAGAGUAGGGCGGGACACGUGGUAUCCUGUCUGAAUAUGGGGGGACCAUCCUCCAAGGCUAAAUACUCCUGACUGACCGAUAGUGAACCAGUACCGUGAGGGAAAGGCGAAAAGAACCCCGGCGAGGGGAGUGAAAAAGAACCUGAAACCGUGUACGUACAAGCAGUGGGAGCCUACUUGUUAGGUGACUGCGUACCUUUUGUAUAAUGGGUCAGCGACUUAUAUUCUGUAGCAAGGUUAACCGWAUAGGGGAGCCGAAGGGAAACCGAGUCUUAACUGGGCGUUAAGUUGCAGGGUAUAGACCCGAAACCCGGUGAUCUAGCCAUGGGCAGGUUGAAGGUUGGGUAACACUAACUGGAGGACCGAACCGACUAAUGUUGAAAAAUUAGCGGAUGACCUGUGGCUGGGGGUGAAAGGCCAAUCAAACCGGGAGAUAGCUGGUUCUCCCCGAAAGCUAUUUAGGUAGCGCCUCGUGAACUCAUCUUCGGGGGUAGAGCACUGUUUCGGCUAGGGGGCCAUCCCGGCUUACCAACCCGAUGCAAACUACGAAUACCGAAGAAUGUUAUCACGGGAGACACACGGCGGGUGCUAACGUCCGUCGUGAAGAGGGAAACAACCCAGACCGCCAGCUAAGGUCCCAAAGUCAUGGUUAAGUGGGAAACGAUGUGGGAAGGCACAGACAGCCAGGAUGUUGGCUUAGAAGCAGCCAUCAUUUAAAGAAAGCGUAAUAGCUCACUGGUCGAGUCGGCCUGCGCGGAAGAUGUAACGGGGCUAAACCAUGCACCGAAGCUGCGGCAGCGACRCUUAUGYGUUGUUGGGUAGGGGAGCGUUCUGUAAGCCGUUGAAGGUGGCCUGUGAGGGUUGCUGGAGGUAUCAGAAGUGCGAAUGCUGACAUAAGUAACGAUAAAGCGGGUGAAAAGCCCGCUCGCCGGAAGACCAAGGGUUCCUGUCCAACGUUAAUCGGGGCAGGGUGAGUCGACCCCUAAGGCGAGGCCGAAAGGCGUAGUCGAUGGGAAACAGGUUAAUAUUCCUGUACUUGGUGUUACUGCGAAGGGGGGACGGAGAAGGCUAUGUUAGCCGGGCGACGGUUGUCCCGGUUUAAGCAUGUAGGCGGAGGUUCCAGGUAAAUCCGGUACCUUUUAACGCUGAGGUGUGAUGACGAGGCACUACGGUGCUGAAGUAACAAAUGCCCUGCUUCCAGGAAAAGCCUCUAAGCAUCAGGUAACACGAAAUCGUACCCCAAACCGACACAGGUGGUCAGGUAGAGAAUACCAAGGCGCUUGAGAGAACUCGGGUGAAGGAACUAGGCAAAAUGGUGCCGUAACUUCGGGAGAAGGCACGCUGAUAUGUAGGUGAAGCCCCUGCGGGUGGAGCUGAAAUCAGUCGAAGAUACCAGCUGGCUGCAACUGUUUAUUAAAAACACAGCACUGUGCAAACACGAAAGUGGACGUAUACGGUGUGACGCCUGCCCGGUGCCGGAAGGUUAAUUGAUGGGGUUAGCGGUAACGCGAAGCUCUUGAUCGAAGCCCCGGUAAACGGCGGCCGUAACUAUAACGGUCCUAAGGUAGCGAAAUUCCUUGUCGGGUAAGUUCCGACCUGCACGAAUGGCGUAAUGAUGGCCAGGCUGUCUCCACCCGAGACUCAGUGAAAUUGAACUCGCUGUGAAGAUGCAGUGUACCCGCGGCAAGACGGAAAGACCCCGUGAACCUUUACUAUAGCUUGACACUGAACACUGGUCCUUGAUGUGUAGGAUAGGUGGGAGGCUUUGAAGCGUGGACGCCAGUCUGCGUGGAGCCGMCCUUGAAAUACCACCCUUUAAUGGCUGGUGUUCUAACGUAGACCCGURAUCCGGGUUGCGGACAGUGUCUGGUGGGUAGUUUGACUGGGGCGGUCUCCUCCCAAAGAGUAACGGAGGAGCACGAAGGUUAGCUAAUCCUGGUCGGACAUCAGGAGGUUAGUGCAAUGGCAUAAGCUAGCUUGACUGCGAGAGUGACGGCUCGAGCAGGUGCGAAAGCAGGUCAUAGUGAUCCGGUGGUUCUGAAUGGAAGGGCCAUCGCUCAACGGAUAAAAGGUACUCCGGGGAUAACAGGCUGAUACCGCCCAAGAGUUCAUAUCGACGGCGGUGUUUGGCACCUCGAUGUCGGCUCAUCACAUCCUGGGGCUGAAGUAGGUCCCAAGGGUAUGGCUGUUCGCCAUUUAAAGUGGUACGCGAGCUGGGUUUAGAACGUCGUGAGACAGUUCGGUCCCUAUCUGCCGUGGGCGCUGGAGAAUUGAGGGGGGCUGCUCCUAGUACGAGAGGACCGGAGUGGACGCAUCACUGGUGUUCGGGUUGUCAUGCCAAUGGCACUGCCCGGUAGCUAAAUGCGGAAGAGAUAAGUGCUGAAAGCAUCUAAGCACGAAACUUGCCCC